CAACGCACGAAAAAACUGUGAGAGGUCAAGGAGAUUCCAUUCAUGGUAGCAUAUCAAAUGCCAUGAACUUUCCAUCCACAAUUUAUGGUUUGUCACGCUAUGAAAAUAGUCUAGUUUAUAUUAGAACAUCCUAUACAAUAAAAACGCAUAAACCACAAGUGUCCAUUCAACCAGUAAACAGUACAGUGCAGA